GAGACACCCCUAUGGAUUAAGACUUGCUCCAGUGGGGUUUUGGUGCUCACUGAGUCUGUCCCUUGAGUGUGUCACU
rnacentral:pre_miRNA from 1 species